rnacentral:lncRNA from 1 species
UGGGAUUAUAGGCACGCGCCACCCAGCUAAUUUUUUGUAUUUUUAGUAGAGACGGGUUUUCACCAUGUUGGCCAGGAUGGUCUCGAUCUCCUGACCUCGUGAUCCGCCCGCCUCGGCCUACCAGAGUGCUGCGAUUACAGGCGUAAGCCACCGCGCCUGGCCACCAACUUAACUUCUGCCAGGAUCAUGGGAAGUGGUAGGGUUUGGGGUCUGAUUUCAAGAGGGAGCUGCUGUGGAGUAUCAGCACAGCUUACUGAGAUAUCAGAAAGGCCUUGGUAAAGAGCCCUUUACUGAGACAGGGAGCACAUUUUGGCAGAGGUUUGAAUUGGAGCGUGUUAAGUGUAGUGUCUUCUUCACCACUGUGACGUGAGGUCCUGGCGCAAAUAAUUGAGCACAGAAAUACAUGUCAGGCAUUGCUAGGCACAAGGGUACAGCCAGUGAGCAGGGCUGCCAUGGUCCCUGCCCUCUUAGAGCUGACCUUCAGGUCUGAGGGAGACUGAAAAAUAAGUAAGAAUACCUCCAGCCGGGCGCUUUGGCUCACGCCUGUAAUCCCAGCACUUUGGGAGGCCAAGGUGGGUGGAUCACCUGAGGUCAAGAGUUCGAGACCAGCCCAACCAAUAUAGUCAAACCCCAUCUCUACUGAAAUUAUUAAAAUUAGCUGGGCGUGGUGGUGGGCACCUGUAAUGCCAGCUACUCGGGAGGCUGAGGCAGGAGAAUCGCUGGAACCCAGGAGGCAGAGGUUACAGUGAUCCGGGAUCGCGCCACUGCACUCCAGCAGCCUGGGCGACAGAGGGAGACUCCAUCUCAAAAAAAAAAAAAAAAAAAAAAUACACCUCCAAUGCUGAAAGCUACGAAGGAAACAAAACCAUGUGCGAGUGAUAGGGCAGCCCCUCUGGGAAGUGACAUUUGUGCCCAGAUCUGAAGAAAGAAAAGGAGCCACUCAUACAGAAAGACUGAGACAAGAUGAGCUUUCGGGACAAGUCAGGCUCUAGGGAGAACACCUGACGAGGAAAAUGCCUGGGCAGUUUGAGGAACUGAAAAGCCAGUGUGUCUGGAGCUUAGUGAGGGAGGCAGAGAGCACGGGAGGUGUGGUUACCAAGGUAGGUGGGACCGGCUCUGGCCCUGGGUAAAAAGUUUGACUUUCAUUCCAAGAGUAAUGGAAAAUAAUGAAGAAUUUUGAACUCGAGGUGGUGCAUGCCUGUAAUCCCAGCACUUUGGGAGGCUGAAGCAGGCAGAUCGCUUGAGCCCAGGAGUUUGAGAUUAGCCCGGGCAGCAUAACAGGGCAGCAUCUCUACAAAAAUUUUAUUUUUGGCCGGGCGCGGUGGCUCACACCUGUAAUCCCAGCACUUUGGGAGGCCGAGGGGGGGCAGAUCUCCUGAGGUCAGGAGUUCGAGACCAGCCUGACCAACAUGGCGAAACCCCGUCUCUACUAAAAAUACAAAAAAUUAGCCGGGCAUGGUGGCACGCGCCUGUAAUCCCAGCUACUUAGGAGGCUGAGGCAGGAGAAUCGCUUGAACCCGGGAGGCGGAGGUUGCAGUGAGCCAAGAUCACGCCACUUGCACUCCAGCCUGGGCAACAAGAGAGAAACUCCAUCUCAAAAACAAACAAAUCCAGACCAGCCUGGCUAACAUGGCAAAACCCCCUCUCUACUAAAAAUAGAAAAAUUGGCUGGGCAUGGUGGUAAGCACCUGUAAUCUCAGCUGCAUUGGCGGCUGAGGCAGGAGAAUCACUUGAACUCAGAAGGUGGAGGUUGCAGUGAGCACAGAUCACACCACUGCACUCCAGCCUGGGCAACAGAGCAAGACUCUCAAAAAAAAAAAGUUUUGAAGGGAGCAGAUCCACUUUAAAAGCUCACACUGGUUCUUGAGUGAUGACCAAAUGGCACUGUGCCUUAUGCAGAGCCGACUCCUGGCAGUUUGCACAGGCUGGAGGUGGAGCUGCAGACUCCCUCUCCCUCUCGGCCUUGCCUCUGUAAAUGGGAAAGCCGUUGACAUUCACAAAAGAGGGGCAGGGAACUGCUACACAAGAGCAGCUACACAAGAGGGUCCUUUGGUCCACACAGGAAACAAGCCAUAGUGAUGACAUAUUUUGAAGCUGUUAGAUGUUUUGUUUCCCUAGCUGGCUAUUAUUUUUGUAUGGCUUGUCUUUCUCUUUUGAGUAUGUGUGAGAACAGGAUGGGUUAACAUUAGGGAAGAGCACAGAAGAGGAAGGAAGGAAAGAAGGAAGGGAGGGAGGGAAAGGAGAGAGAAUAGGGAUGAGAAGCUCAGCUUGUAGAAUUGGCAGGUGAUGUUUGCAGUCAUUAAUCAUUUGAGAAGUAGAGAGAGAAGCCAAGCAGGAAAUCUUCAUACUGGAAAAGAAGUGCUCACCAUUAAAAAAAAAAAAAAAAAAAAUCCAGUGUGGUUCACAGCUGUAAUCCCAUCACUUGGAGGCUGAGGCAGGAGAAAUACGUGAAGCCAGGAGUUUGAGACCAGCCUGGGCAAUAUAACAAGACCCACAUCUCUACAAAGAGAAAAAAAAUGUAAAAAAAAGAAGCUUUAAACCUAAGACGGCAGAAUUCAAGACUGUUGUCCUUGAGAACUUCCUGGCUCUGGAAAAAGCUCAGUGAGUUAGUCUCAUCCUGUCGUUAGCUCUGUUUUUUAGGGGCUCACUUUGUCUUCACGACAGUACCUUGCACCAUUCUCAUGGGUAUCCCAGGGUGGUGCAAGGCAGUUUUCUGCACUUCCCAGAAUGCCCUGUCAGCUGGCUUCUGGGUAGGUUCUGCAAAUUGGAGGCCCCUGUGAAAGAUCGCUGUGGGGUGGGAGGAAGAAGCUUUAUCUGCCUGCUGGCUGCAGGGUAGAGGACUGCAGUGGGGUUAUAGGGAUCACCACCUGCACAUGUGGAGCUUUGAGCGGCUUCACUCUAAGUUUCUGCUCAACAGUGGCAGCCCUGGAGUCCUUCGGGGGCGAGUGUGGGCUCCUGGGCUCCAGGCCAGGGGCAGUCCCAGCUUCCUGAUCUCGAGGUAGCGUCUCCUCCCUUUUGCUCCAUAGCACCUCGCCCUUCUCAGUGACGUGCCUCCUUCUCAGUCAUGCGCCUCCAGCUCUAACAAUGUCCUUGAAAACAAUUCUUGACCAUGCGCCGUGGCUCACGCCUGUAAUCCCAACACUUUGGGAGUCUGAGGCAGGCGGAUCACUUGAGGUCAGGAGUUUGAGACCAGCCUGGCCAACAUGUAAUCCCAGCUACUCCCUCCACUUGAUUUGUGUUCCUUGAAGAAAUUUGCAUAAUCCCUGUAUCUGGUUGGCAGAUAGCAGAGAUGUAGCCUCAGUCUUUCCUUUAAAAAUUUUGCUUUAGGCAGGGCGCGGUGGCUCACACCUAUAAUCCCAGCACGUUGGGAGGCCAAGGUGGGCAGAUCAUGAGAGCAGGAAUUUGAGAUCGGCCUAGCCAAUAUGGUGAAACCCCGUCUCUACUAAAAAUAUAAAAAUUAGCUGGGCGUGGUGGCACAAGCCUGUAAUCCCAGCUAUUUGGGAGGCUGAGGCAGGAGAAUCGCUUGAAUCCAGGAGGCAGAGGUUGAGAUGAGCCGAGAUCACGCUAUUGCACUCCAGCCUGGGCAACAGAGGGAUACUCCAUCUCAAAAAAAAUUUUUUGCUUUAGGGCCAAUCGUGGUGACACACGCUUGUAAUUCUGGCACUUUGAGAGGCCGAGGCAGGUGGAUAAUUUGAGGUCAGGGGUUCGAGAGCAGACUGGCCAUGAUGGUGAAAUCCCAUCUCUACUAAAAAUACAAAAAAAGCCAGGUAUGGUGGCAUACGCCUGUAAUCCCAGCUACUCGGGAGGCUGAAGCAGGAGAAUCACUUGAACCCGGGAGGUUUAGGUGGCAUUGAGCCGAGAUUGCACCACUGCACUCCAGCCUGGGUGACAGAGCGAGACUCCAUCUCAAAAAAAAAAAAAAGGGCCGGACGCGGUGGCUCACGCCUUUAAUCCCAGCACUUUGGAAGGCCGAGGCGGGUGGAUCACCUGAGGUCAGGAGUUCAAGACCAGCCUGGUCAACAUGGUGAAACCCCGUCUCUACUAAAAACAUUAAAAAAUUAGCCGGGCAUGGUAGUGGGCGCCUGUAAUACCAGCUACUGAGGAGGCUGAGGCAGGAGAAUUGCUUGAACCCAGGAGACAGAGGUUGCAGUGACCUGAGAUUGUGCCACUACACUCCAGCCUGGGCAACAAAGCAAGACUCUGUCUUAAACAAACAAAAAGCCCAGUGUGGUGGUGUAUAUUUGUGGUCCUAGCUACUUUGAAGGCUGAGGUGGGAGGAUUGCUUGAGUACAACAUGUAGAGGCUGCAGUGAGCUGUGAUUGUGCCACUGCACCCCAGUGUGGGUGACAGAGCAAGACCCUGUCUCAAAAUAAUAAAAUUAACAUUCAUUAACAAUAAUGUUAAUAUAUAUGUUAAUGUAUAUGUUAAUCGUAAUGUUUAUAUUUUACCAUGAUAAAAACAUUUUAAAAUCAUAUAUCAACUCUUGCCGUUCUCCUGUUGAAAACUCUCCAAUGACUUCCCACUCCAUCAUCCUGUGGGAUGGGUCCACCAUGCUGGACCACAAGGCUCUGCACAAUGCGGCUCCCACCAGCCUCUCCCCUUGGCCCAGAUUGCUUCCUCCUACCCCUUUCUCUAGCUGCCAGGCCCCCCAACCCCCGCAUGGAGCCCUUCAGCAGCUCUGUGAGCUCCCUGCCUGUUGGCAGCCAUCACAGCAACGGGCUCUGGUGUGCCCCUUGUUAUCCCUGUAUUCAGGCCAUUAUCUGUAAUGACAGCCUGGCAUAAUUUUAUUUUCACAAUUUGUAUAAUUAUAUUCUAUUGAGCUAAAUGAUCAUUAUAAUCAUUAUUAAAUAUUUAUUAAGCACUUCUAGCUGUGCAAACAUAAUAAGAUGUGGCCUCAGCUCUUAAAAUCUUUCUUCCUAAUUCCAACCCAAAUUCAUUUCAACUUAACCAAUCUUCCUUCUUGGAGAAGGAGGGAACUUCGGCGUUUUGUCUGGGUUUCCAUGCCCGAGCUUAUAGGAGCUUCUUAGCAAUGCUGUGGAGCAGAUGCUAUUGACUUCAGUUUACAGAUAAGGAAACAAUCAGACUGAGGAAGCUAGUAUUAAUAAGUAGCAGAGAUUAAGAUUUGCCUGUGGUUCUUUUUUACACAAAG